UUAAAUUGAAGAGUUUGAUCAUGGCUCAGAUUGAACGCUGGCGGCAGGCCUAACACAUGCAAGUCGAACGGCAACAGGAAGCAGCUUGCUGUUUCGCUGACGAGUGGCGGACGGGUGAGUAAUGUCUGGGAA
rnacentral:rRNA from 1 species